rnacentral:rRNA from 1 species
ACGGAGGGUGCGAGCGUUGUCCGGAAUCACUGGGCGUAAAGGGCGCGUAGGCGGCGUUUUAAGUCGGGGGUGAAAGCCUGUGGCUCAACCACAGAAUGGCCUUCGAUACUGGGACGCUUGAGUAUGGUAGAGGUUGGUGGAACUGCGAGUGUAGAGGUGAAAUUCGUAGAUAUUCGCAAGAACACCGGUGGCGAAGGCGGCCAACUGGACCAUUACUGACGCUGAGGCGCGAAAGCGUGGGGAGCAAACAGGA